GGGGCGAAAGACUAAUCGAACCAUCUAGUAGCUGGUUCCCUCCGAAGUUUCCCUCAGGAUAGCUGGCGCUCUCGCACACGAACCCACGCAGUUUU
rnacentral:rRNA from 1 species